rnacentral:rRNA from 1 species
UACGGAGGAUGCGAGCGUUAUCCGGAUUUAUUGGGUUUAAAGGGUGCGUAGGCGGCUUUUUAAGUCAGCGGUGAAAUUUUUCAGCUUAACUGUAACAGUGCCGUUGAUACUGGGGAGCUAGGAUUUGGUUGCUGUGGGUGGAAUGUGUGGUGUAGCGGUGAAAUGCUUAGAGAUCACACAGAAUAUCGAUUGCGAAGGCAGCUCACAAAGCCAAGAUUGACGCUGAGGCACGAAAGUGUGGGGAUCAAACAGGAUUAGAUA